UGUUGGGAGAGGAAAAAUGAAUUGCCCACUGGCAGGCAGGUAAGAGGCAGAGCUGAAACUCUCACGUAGUUCUUCCAAUUCCAGGCCCAGCAUCUCAGGAUUGUACCCAAGUGGCUCUCGCACCAGUAUCAGGGCCAAUGGCAGGGUCAGCAGAAAAUAGCAGAGGGGCUUGAAAACAGAUGGGAACAUCUGGAAAAGGCGGUGGGGUGCUGUCGGGAGCAUUUUGAGUGGGGCAGUGACACUGCUGGCUCUGCAUUUUGGAAAGGUGGUUUUCAGGGCAGUUUGGAUGAUGCUGGGGAGUGGCUGACAGGUUGAAGAUCAGUCCUGAGGAGCAGGGCUGAGGAAACCGGCUUGCCUGCAGGCUGGUCGUUCCAGGGGGUUCCUUUGAAAAC